UACAGAGGGGCAAGCGUUGUUCGGAAUUACUGGGCGUAAAGGGCGCGUAGGCGGCCUGCUAAGUCGAACGUGAAAUCCCCGAGCUCAACUCGGGAACUGCGUCCGAUACUGGCAGGCUUGAAUCCGGGAGAGGGAUGCGGAAUUCCAGGUGUAGCGGUGAAAUGCGUAGAGUAUCUGGAGGAACACCGGUGGCGAAGGCGGGUCUCUGGGCCGAUACUGGACGCUGAGGAGCGAAAGCGUGGGGAGCGAACAGGG
rnacentral:rRNA from 1 species